AACGUAGGAGGCGAGCGUUAUCCGGAUUUACUGGGCGUAAAGCGUGCGCAGGCGGUGAUGUAAGACAGAUGUGAAAUCCCCGGGCUCAACCUGGGAACUGCAUUUGUGACUGCAUCGCUGGAGUGCGGCAGAGGGGGAUGGAAUUCCGCGUGUAGCAGUGAAAUGCGUAGAUAUGCGGAGGAACACCGAUGGCGAAGGCAAUCCCCUGGGCCUGCACUGACGCUCAUGCACGAAAGCGUGGGGAGCAAACAGGAUUAGAAACCCCAGUAGU
rnacentral:rRNA from 1 species